AUUGUGGGGGGAUCAAUUUUUUCUCAUUUCAGAUUUCAUAAAUUAAAAAGAAUUAUUCUUCAAAUAUUAUUUUUUUUCAAAUUUCAAAUAUUGAAAAAUUUCAAGAAGUAAUCUUUAAUUGCACAGUAUGGCGCAUUAGAUUUGUAAAAUCUUUGAUCACAUUUAUUUAUUUGUUAUGCCGAAUCUAACAGUGUAUUUAGAUUUUUAAUUUUGGGUCCAGUUUUCAAAUUGGUCUACAUUAAGGUCCAAAGGGUCCAAAAUUAAACUUUGUUUGAUUUUAGCAAAAAUUGAAUAUAUGAGGUUCUUUGAUAUGCUGAAUCUAAACAUGUAUUUAGAUUUUUGAUUUUUGGCCCAGUUUUCAAGUUGGUCCAAAUUGGGGUCCAAAAUUAAACUUUGUUUGAUUUCAACAAAAAUUGAAUAUAUGGGGUUCUUUGAUAUGCUGAAUCUAACCAUGUAUUUAGAUUUUUUAUUUGUGGGCCACGCUAUCAAAUUGGUUCAUAUUGAGGUCAAAAGGGUCCAAAAUUAAACUUUGUUUGAUUUCAUCAAAAAUUGAAUUAUUGGGGUUCUUUGAUAUGCCAAAUCUAACCGUGUUUUCAGAUUUUUAAUUUGGGUCCCGUUUUUUAAAUUGAUCUUCAUUGAGGUCCAAAGGGUCCAAAAUUAAACUUAGUUUGAUUUUAACAAAAAUUGAAUUCUUGGGGUUCUUUGAUAUGCUGAAUCUAAACAUGUGUUUAGAUUUUUGAUUAUGGGCCCAGUUUUCAAGUUGGUCCAAGUUGGGGUCAAAAAUUAAACUUUUUUUUAUUUCAACAAAAAUUGAAUAUAUGGGGUUCUUUGAUAUGCUGAAUCUAACCAUGAAUUUAGAUUUUUUAUUUGUGGGCCCCGCUAUCAAAUUGGUUCAUAUUGAGGUCAAAAGGGUCCAAAAUUAAACUUUGUUUGAUUUCAUCAAAAAUUGAAUUAUUGGGGUUCUUUGAUAUUCCAAAUCUAACCGUGUAUUAGAUUUUUAAUUUUAAGUCCCGUUUUUUAAAUUGGUCUACAUUAA